CAGUAGCCGCGGUAAUACGGAGGGUGCAAGCGUUAAUCGGAAUUACUGGGCGUAAAGCGCACGCAGGCGGUCUGACAAGUCAGAUGUGAAAUCCCCGGGCUUAACCUGGGAACUGCAUUUGAAACUGUCAGGCUGGAGUCUUGUAGAGGGGGGUGGAAUUCCAGGUGUAGCGGUGAAAUGCGUAGAGAUCUGGAGGAAUACCGGUGGCGAAGGCGGCCAUCUGGGACAACACUGACGCUGAGGCACGAAAGCGUGGGGAGCAAACAGGAUUAGAUACCCCAGUAGUCCUGUCUCUUAUACA
rnacentral:rRNA from 1 species